GUAAAAUCUGUUGCUCCUACAGCAAGGCAGCAGCGGUUCUGACUCCGAGACCGCAAGCAGUUUUUCUGCAAGAGAUGGAGGUUGGGCACCAGAUUAUUGUGGAGCUGGGAGGAGGGGCUUGAGGACAGGACCCCUCGUUGGCUGAUGGAUAAGCAGCUACUGAGAUCAGCAAAGGUAUUAUCAGCACAGCCCUUGUGUGGUGAACAAACGAGCUGCUGCUAUAGGCUGGAGGGCAUCAAGUACGUACCAGGAAAGUUAGGUUUGCUGAAUUAAAGUGGGUCAAACACCUUAUUGCUCUAUGGCAAUAAAUCCACUUGAAAAGAAAAGAAAAGGAGACUUUUUGCCUUUGGAAAAGAGAUGGAGAAAUGUGCAGAAAAGGGCAGAAUGAACAAAUAACAAACACCCCACAAACAAAUAAGCAGAAAUGCUUUUUGUCAUAUAACUGCCCCAUAAGCAAAUUAGAAUGAAUACUCAGUAAAGACUGUAAUAGUGCAACCAUCAUGUAAAGCUUUCUGCCAGCAAAUCAAGAUAUACUGAAUAAACAGGUUGUAAAUUCCAUUAAUUUAACAGGAGAGUGUUUUGCAGAUGCUUCAAACUCUUAAAUUCUUACCUUUUUUUUUUUAUUUAACACGUACACACACAAACACACAUUGCCUCUUCAUUACAGUUUUAAAACUGAUUCACAAACUAAACAAAAACAAUAAUCCAGCUGGACUGGAUUAAGCUCUGUGUUUUCAGCCUGUAUCUGUAUCCGAUCUGCAUAAAAUGAAACCUUAAGGAAGCAAUCCUCUGCAAGACUUUCCUGGGAGUAAGCCACAUUGAACAUAUUAGCAUAUCUUUCUGAGAAAAGCUGCAUAGGACUGCCUGGUAAGAGUGGAAAUCCUAUGUGUGUUUACUAAGAAGCAACUCCAAUCUCCAACUGUGUUUACUCUUAGGUAAGUGUGCAUAAAGGGACGUGGGUGACGCUGUGGGUUAAACCACAGAGCCUAGGGCUUGCCGAUCAAAAG